GACGAACGCUGGCGGCAGGCCUAACACAUGCAAGUCGAGCGGAGCGGCGGACGGGUGAGUAAUGCCUAGGAAUCUGCCUGCUAGUGGGGGAUAACGUUCGGAAACGGACGCUAAUACCGCAUACUAUCAGAUGAGCCUAGGUCGGUUUAGCUAGGUGGGGAGGUAAUGGCACACCAAGGCUACGAUCCGUCACUGGUCUGAGAGGAUGAUCAGUCACACUGGAACUGAGACACGGUCCAGACUCCUACGGGAGGCAGCAGGGGGGAAUAUUGGACAAUGGGCGAAAGCCUGAUCCAGCCAUGCCGCGUGUGUUAAGAAGGUCUUCGGAUGGGAAAGCACUUUAAGUUGGGAGGCGUUACCGACAGAAGAAGCACCGGCUAACUCUGUGCCAGCAGCCGCGGUAAUUC
rnacentral:rRNA from 1 species